UCGAACGCGAAAGUUCCGCAAGGAAUUAGUAGAGUGGCAAACGGGUGAGUAACACGUGGGUGACCUGCCUUCGAGUGGGGGAUAACGUCCCGAAAGGGACGCUAAUACCGCAUAAUAUCCUGCCUUUUAAGAGGUGGAAAUCAAAGCCGGGGAUCGCAAGACCUGGCGCUUGAAGAGGGGCCCGCGUCCGAUUAGCUAGUUGGUGGGGUAACGGCUCACCAAGGCGACGAUCGGUAGCCGGCCUAAGAGGGCGGACGGCCACACUGGGACUGAGACACGGCCCAGACUCCUACGGGAGGCAGCAGUGGGGAAUUGUUCGCAAUGGGCGCAAGCCUGACGACGCAACGCCGCGUGGAGGAUGAAGACCUUCGGGUCGUAAACUCCUUUCGAUCGAGACGAAUGGCCCCUGGGUUAAUAGCCUGGGGGAGUGACGGUACCGAGAGAAGAAGCCCCGGCUAACUCCGUGCCAGCAGCCGCGGUAAUACGGGGGGGGCAAGCGUUGUUCGGAAUUACUGGGCGUAAAGGGCUCGUAGGCGGCCAACUAAGUCAGACGUGAAAUCCCUCGGCUUAACCGGGGAACUGCGUCUGAUACUGGAUGGCUUGAAUCCGGGAGAGGGAUGCGGAAUUCCAGGUGUAGCGGUGAAAUGCGUAGAUAUCUGGAGGAACACCGGUGGCGAAGGC
rnacentral:rRNA from 1 species